GUGACUGUGGGAAGGCGACACUGCUUUAGGGACAUUUCACAGUCUGCAAAGCUUCAGUGUCUUCAACUUGCAUCACUGCUUGGACAAAGCUAGAGUUUUCAGAAUGUCAAAGAUAAUGAAGAGCAGGAACGUGGAGAAAGCGGACUCGGGGUCCUGUGAUGAGCGCAUCCUGACCGACUGCCAUCAGAUGUACACGGAUACAGACAGCGGAUUAAUAGAUAUAGCUCAGUCCGUUGGCGUGACUUUGCUGCCUCCCAGGAAGAAGAUCACUGUGAUGCUGAUUGGGAACCACUCGGCUGGAAAAAGCUCCUUCAUCAACUGGUAUGUAGAGGAGCACAUACAAAAGACCGGAGUUGCGAUCGGGACACAGGGCUUCACUUUUGUUACAAGUGGGCGUAAGAGAGCGUCUCUUACGGGCAAUGCAACCUUCCAAAUGUAUCCACACUUUAAGACACUUCAGGAGGUUAAAGGCAUGUCUGAAUACGUUGGCACCGAGAUCUGCACUUCUCGGCAGAAGCGUUUCAGUUUGGUGACUUUUGUGGACACUCCUGGACUGGUGGACGGGGAUAUGAAGUAUCCCUUUGACGUGGACCAGGCAAUCCUUUGGCUAGGUGAAGUGUGUGACUUGAUCCUGGUCUUCUUCGACCCGAUGGGACAGGCUCUGUGCGAACGCACGCUCAACAUCGUGGAGCAACUCAGCAAACGGCAGGGAGAUCGACUCCACUUUUGCCUCAGCAAAGCUGAUGAGGUUGGCAGAGAGUCAGACAGACAGAGAGUGAUGAUGCAGAUUAUGCAAGAGUUGUAUAAACGUCCAGGAUUCAACAAGCGUGGCUUUGACAUGCCUAGCAUCUAUAUCCCCAAUCCCAACAAGCCCAGUGGAUGUGUGAAUCAGAUCGAAAAGGUGUGUCACACCAUAGAGAAGACCAUCAAUUACACAGUGCAGAACACCCUCAACACGAUGGAGAAGGACUGCGAGUUCCUCUUGGAGGCUGUUACUGAUACGUCCAACAACGACCGACAGUCUUACAAGGACAACCAGCGUGCCUGCAGUAGGAGUUAUGUCCUGGCCCUGCUGAGCUUUGGUGUGCUACUGCUCUUUACCGUGAUGCUGGGUAGCCUCUACAGGGAGGUGCUGGAGCUGGCACUGGGUGUUUAUGGCACUGAGAUACUAUUGCUCUGUCUGGCUCCAGUCAUAAGGGCGCUUGAUUAUCUGCCAGUGCAAAUUCAGCUCAUUAUUUCUGGUUUCUUGAUACAACUCUCGAUUGUUCUGCUCACCCUGGCUGGCCUCCUUUUUCACUCUAACACGACUCUGUCUGGAAAACAAAAGAUACAGCUGCAGGAAAAACUGGAGUAUGUGCAAGAGGUGGUGAAAACUAAAAAGUAAUCUUUGGCAGGUCUCCCAGAGCUGCUUGGCGAAUGCGAAUGGGUGGCCAUGCUCACCGAGUGUCAGUGAGUGGAAAUGCUGAUGGUGCUGUUCAGGGUGCAGCUAACCCAUUGCAACAUUGCCUGCUUCAGGUCCUCAUCAUAGCACACACAGCGUUAGUUAAAGUAGUAAACGACCUACUACUGGCCUCUGAUCAGGGUUGUGUCUCCUUGCUUGUGUUGCUUUAUCUUAGUGAUUUUGAUCUUUUUGAUACUAUAGAUCAUACUAUUCUCCUUGAUAGAUUAGAAAAUGUUGUUGGCAUUAAGGGAACGGUCCUCUCCUGGGUCAGGUCUUAUCUGACCAAUCUCUAUCAGUUCGUAGAUAUAAAUGGUGACUUCUCCACGCAUACUGAGGUUAAAUUUGGUGUUCCACAAGGAUCUGUUUUAGGCCCACUACUUUUUACUUUACAUAUGCUACCUCUGGGUCAAAUUAUUCGUAAACAUGGAAUUAGCUUCCACUGUUAUACUGAUGAUACACAGCUGUAUGUUUCAGCAAAGCCAGACAACAGACAGCAGCUUAAUAAAGUUGAGGAAUGUGUAAAGGACAUUAGACAUCGGAUGCUUAUUAACUUACUUUUACUUAAUUCUGAUAAGACAGAACUACUUCUACUAGGACCAUGUGCAGCUAGAAGUAUGCUUUCUGAUUACAUAGUUACUCUGGAUGGCCUUUCCGUUUCAUCAUGUGCAGCAGUAAAAGACCUUGGACGGAUUAUUGACCCCAGUCUUUCAUUUGACACUCAUGUAGAUAAUAUUAGCCUUCUUUCAUCUCAGAAAUAUAGUUAAGAUACGAAAUAUAAUGUCACUACAUGAUGCAGAAAAAUUAGUUCAUGUUUUUGUUACCUCUUGGCUGGAUUAUUGUAAUGGUUUACUGUCUGAUUGUUCCAGUAGGAGCAUAAACAAUCUCCAGUUAGUCCAGAAUGCAGCUGCACGAAUCCUUACUAGAACCAAAAAGUUCACCCCUAUCUUAUCCACACUGCAUUGGCUCACAGUAAAAUUUCGUAUUGAUUAUAAAAUACUACUGAAUGUCUAUGAAUGGUCUUGCGGCACAGUACCUGAGCAAUCUUUUGGUCUUCUAUGAUCCACCAUGCCUACUUAGAUCAAAAGGUGCAGGGUAUUUUUUGGUACCUAGAACAGUGAAGGCUACAGCAGGUGGAAGAGCUUUCUCUUACAAAGCCCCACAGUUAUGGCACAGCCUUCGAAUCACUGUCAGGGACUCAGACACAGUCUCAGUGUUUAAGUCUAGGCUGAAAACAUAUUUAUUUACUCAAACUUACCCCAUUAUGGGAUAGUAAGCAUACCGAACAAUCUCUCCCUCUCUUUAUCACCCUCUCCCUUUCUCCUUCACGCAUGCCACACAUGAUUUUAUGGAGAUGCCAGUGAUCCUGACUCUUUCUGCUCUCUGGACGUGCCUGAUGCUGGAUCUGGGGAAGGCUGGCAAGGGACUUGAUGAUCUCGGCCAGUGGUGAGGACUCCAUGACGGCGCUCUUCCUCAAUGCCCGGAUUUCAGCACCAGUGUAACACUUUUCCUGGUUUGGGUCGGAAAUGAGGAAGCAGAUGGCAGGCUGAGGACAAUUCAAAAGGGCUCUUUAUUUUUACUUUUGCUUUUCAGUACACCAAACACAGACACGCACACAACGGCUCUUUGCUGGUCUCCCCUCUCUCUCUCUCUCUCUCUCUCUCUCUCUCUCUCUCUCUCUCUCUCUCUCUCUCUGUCUUUCUCAGUGCUCGCCUCUCUCCUGUUUAUCCUCAUCACCAUUUCAGUGAAACACAGAACUCACCUUCUCCAUCUCCGCCCUCCAUAUACAAAUCUUCCAUUUUACCACGCCCCUGCUUCCACAAUGUUAUUAAACUGGCUAUUUUCUCUUAGGAAGAGAGCAUUUACUGGGAAGAUACACACUGACAUAUUAUUAUUUUUUAAUCAUUAUAUAAAUUCAUUCAUUUAAACAUGCAUUAAUUCUAAACCUAGUCCAAAAGUCUGCGUUGUGCACCAAGAACUAUUUAAUUAAUUAGGUUUCAAAAAUGUUUUAUAAAGUUAUAUAUUUUUCUAAAUAGUUUUUUUUUAUUUGUAUAUUAGUGAAGAAUGAUGUAAUUUUGUUCAGGAAGCAUUAUUGCACAAAUUAUACAGAAUAAAAUUGACUGAGAAGAAACUUCUUCCUAGUGGACUCAGACUUUUAAACUGUAUCGUACUCUGUCCAUGACAACAAAUGGAGCAGGAAAAUAAGCAGAGGAUGAAGCAGGAGAUGCCGGCUGAAAAGCAGACCACGCCCUUGCUGAAGAAGAAAGACACCAUGCUGCAGAAGGGUGGCAUGGUGCUUUAGAUACCUCAGAUGGAUCUGAUAGCAGAGCAUGUAAAGCCACAGGUCAACAAUGGAGCCAUCGAGGACAACACAGACUUGAGAAAUUCUCCAUACCGGCGAACAGACAGCCGAAGACCAGCACAUCAGCAAGAAAAUUAACCUGCCUAUUACAACACAUGAAAACUAGAACUUCAUCUAAACAACUUGUAUGAGGCUUUGAUACUGAAUACACAUGCAGACAACAAAUCUUCAAAUACACCCACACAACUGAUAUGCCUGUACACUCUAACUGUAUGUCCUCGGGUGUAAUUCUUUUCUUUUACUAGUUGUGUGGAGUUUUUUACCAGGACAUGUGUGAAUAGCCAAAUGUGCUAUGUUCUAUGCCAUUUAACACAUCUACAUAUAAUACCAGGAAAUAACAGCUGAAAUUCUAAACUCUCUUCUCAUAUUUAUCUUUUGCUCUCAAACUCAAAUACUUUCAGGAAGUCUACUUUUUGGAAAGUCUGUACUUUCAGAGAAAACUGUACAUAGUAUAUUUUAAUUUAAAAACUAAAUAAAUAAAUCUGUUUGUGAAUCCACAGAAGAAGCUGUAUGUGGAGUACCUCCGCUUGAGUGUUCAGGAUAUGGACUAAAGCAUUUGGGUUGAAAUCUACUGGAGUGAUAAAUGGAAAGAACAAUGAACAAGUGUUAGGAAGGAAAUCAGUAAAACACCACUAAACUUCCCUGCAUUAUAGAGGAGGAGAAAUAUAUUUAUCAACUGUUUUUCUCUCCUUAUAAUGCCAACACACUGUGUUGCUGAAGGUUACUAUUAGUUUACACACAACCAAGGUUGUGUGUACCAAGGCAUGCAUUGUUCAAUAUCUUGUAUGUACAGGCUUUCUACCAAUAAUACAGUACUUCACUACAACCGUACAGCAUUACACCAUGAGUUAAACCAAAGAUUUUUUCUUUGCCUUUAACAGGAUUUUCAUUCAUACUGUAACAGCUUAAAAUAUACACCUCACUAUGUCACUGUAUGUUUUUAAUUCAAUAACAAAAGAUACACAGACAAUUGUUUAGUUAUGCAAGUUUUACUAAGCAUAAAUUUGUAUACCUUUACCAUUUUACUUUUCCCUUAUUAUAAUAAUAAAGCAACAAUUUGAUUGGA